rnacentral:rRNA from 1 species
UACGUAGGGUCCGAGCGUUGUCCGGAGUUACUGGGCGUAAAGCGCGCGCAGGCGGCUCGUCAAGUCUGGCGUGAAAGCCCCCGGCUCAACUGGGGAGGGUCAUUCGAUACUGUUCGACUCGAAGGCAGGAGAGGGAAGUGGAAUUCCCGGUGUAGUGGUGAAAUGCGUAGAUAUCGGGAGGAACACCAGUGGCGAAGGCGACUUCCUGGCCUGUUCUUGACGCUGAGGCGCGAAAGCUAGGGGAGCAAACGGG